rnacentral:rRNA from 1 species
AAUUUUGGACAAUGGGCGCAAGCCUGAUCCAGCCAUGCCGCGAGAGUGAAGAAGGCCUUCGGGUUGUAAAGCUCUUUCGGACGGAAAGAAAUCGCGCAAGCUACUACCCUGCGCGGCUGACGGUACCGGCAUAACAAGCAUCGGCUAACGACGUGCUGCCCGCCGCGGUAAUAUGUAGGGUGCGAGCGUUAAUCGGAAUUACUGGGCGAAAAGCGUGCGCAGGCGGUUGAUUAAGACAGGCGUGAAAGCCCCGGGCUUAACCUGGGAACUGCGCUUGUGACUGGUCAGCUAGAGUACGGCAGAGGGGGGUGGAAUUCCACGUGUAGCAGUGAAAUGCGUAGAGAUGUGGAGGAACACCGAUGGCGAAGGCAGCGCCCUGGGCCGAUACUGACGCUCAUGCACGAAAGCGUGGGUAGCAAACAGG